GCGGAGGGCCGGACGGCCGCCUGCAAUGCGCCAUCGGCGGAUUGUUUGGGAGGAAAGUCCGGACUCCACAAGGCAACGGUGCCGGGUAACGCCCGGCCGGGGCAACCCGAGGGAAAGCGCCACAGAGAACAGACCACUUCGACAUCUGAUCGGAGAAAGGGUGAAACGGUGGGGUAAGAGCCCACCGCGGGACGGGCAACCGGACCGGCAUGGCAAGCCCCACCGGGAGCAAUGCCGAAUAGGGAUCGCACCAUGGGCCGCCUUGGCCCCGCGAUCCGGGUUGGCAGCUAAAGCCUGCGGGCAACCGCAGGACCAGAUGAAUGGUCGUCCUACGACAGAAUCCGGCUUACAGGCCCUCCGCGCGC
rnacentral:RNase_P_RNA from 1 species